UGGGGAAUUUUCCGCAAUGGGCGAAAGCCUGACGGAGCAAGACCGCGUGGGGGAGGAAAGCCUUUGGGUUGUAAACCCCUUUUCUCAGGGAAGAAGAAAGUGACGGUACCUGAGGAAUCAGCCUCGGCUAACUCCGUGCCAGCAGCCGCGGUAAUACGGAGGGUCCAAGCGUUGUCCGGAAUCACUGGGUGUAAAGGGUGCGCAGGCGGGCGUGUAAGUCAGGGGUGAAAGCCACCGGCCUAACCGGUGAACUGCCCUUGAUACUGCACGUCUUGAGUCCCGGAGAGGCUAUCGGAAUUCGUGGUGUAGCGGUGAAAUGCGUAAAUAUCACGAGGAACACCUGAUGCGUAGGCGGAUAGCUGGACGGGUACUGACGCUCAGGCACGAAAGCGUGGGGAGCGAACAGGAUUAGAUACCCGCGUAGUCC
rnacentral:rRNA from 1 species